AAUUUAGAAAAAAAUAAAAAAUGAAUGAGAAUUGAGGAAAAUUAGAAUGAAAUGAUAAGAUUUAUUUUGCUAUAUAUAGAGAUAAAAUUAAUUAACAUUGAUUUGUGAGUAUUGGCGCCAAGAAAAUAAUCUACAAAAUCAAUACCAUCGGUUACAUAAAGUAGUAGUAUUAAUUGUUAUUGUAUCUUGAUAAUUGAAUUUAGCUAGAUUUGGAUUUUAAGAGGCACAAAUUGAAUAAAUUAGAAAAUUAAUUAGUAAUCCUAAAUUCUUGUAGUGCCACGUAGGAUUGUAAAUGCAUGAGAGAUGAAAGAAAUAUGUAUCGGUUUAGAUAAUAGAUAGAUAGAUAGAUAUAGUGAAAUUUAUAAUACAACUAACAAAAAUAAUGAUGAGAAAAGGAUAGAGAAUUUACAGUUCCUAUAUAGCAGGUGAAAAGAAUCCGUCGCUCCAGCUGCAACCGUAAAUGCAGGAAGAAUACCUACAAACUUCUUUUUAGUGAAAUAAACCUAUUUUACUUCACUCGUAUCACCUUCCAAAUCUUUCUUCCCCAUUCACAUUCCUCUGCAUAUAUCCAGGCGAGGACUCUGAAAGUUCAAAGCACUUGGCCAUGGGGCGCCGUCUGCAAGUGAAACCAAAAGCUAAUCGACUUUCCAUUAAGAGACUCAAGAGAGCGAGGCCACAUGAAGAUACCACUGAGAUGGAGAAGAAGGGUUUUGAGUAUGAAAGACAGAGGAAUAAGGUGAUGGAUUCAAUGGCAAAAGUGAGGGAUGAGUUGGAAGGGCUUCACAAUUUCUUAGAAUCUCUUGAGUUCAUGGGAAUAUGAAUGCUGAGGUAGAUGCAUAUGCAGGAAAAGUUAUGGCUGCACUCAUCAAGGAUUCUCGAGAACUCACACGAUACUUGG